rnacentral:rRNA from 1 species
GAUGAACGCUAGCGGCAGGCUUAACACAUGCAAGUUGCGGGGCAGCAUUGGUACUUGUACCAGAUGGCGACCGGCGCACGGGUGCGUAACGCGUAUGCAACCUACCUUAUACAGGAGAAUAGCCCAGAGAAAUUUGGAUUAAUGCUCCAUAGUUUUAUAGAUAAGCAUUUAUUUAUAAAUAAAGCUCCGGCGGUAUAAGAUGGGCAUGCGUGACAUUAGCUAGAUGGUGAGGUAACGGCUCACCAUGGCGACGAUGUCUAGGGGUCCUGAGAGGGUUAUCCCCCACACUGGUACUGAGACACGGACCAG